AUUGAACGCUGGCGGCAGGCUUAACACAUGCAAGUCGAGCGACCGGCGGACGGGUGAGUAAUGUCUGGGAUACUGUCUGAUGGAGGGGGAUAACUACUGGCAACGGCAGCUAAUACCGCAUACCAUCAGAUGUGCCCAGAUGGGAUUAGCUAGUAGGUGGGGUAAUGGCUCACCUAGGCGACGAUCCCUAGCUGGUCUGAGAGGAUGACGAGCCACACUGGAACUGAGACACGGGCCAGACUACUACGGGAGGCAGCAGUGGGGAAUAUUGCGCAAGGGGCGCGAGCCUGAUGCAGCCAUGCCGCGUGUGUGAAGAAAGCCUUCGGGUUGUAAAGCACGUUCAGCGAGGAGGCGGUACUCGCAGAAGAAGCACCGGCUAACUCCGUGCCAGCAGCCGCGGUAAUUC
rnacentral:rRNA from 1 species